rnacentral:rRNA from 1 species
AACGAACGCUGGCGGCAGGCCUAACACAUGCAAGUCGAACGCCGUAGCAAUACGGAGUGGCAGACGGGUGAGUAACACGUGGGAACGUACCCUUCGGUUCGGGAUAACUCAGGGAAACUUGAGCUAAUACCGGAUACGUCCGAGAGGAGAAAGAUUUAUCGCCGAGGGAUCGGCCCGCGUCUGAUUAGCUUGUUGGUGAGGUAACGGCUCACCAAGGCGACGAUCAGUAGCUGGCUGAGAGGAUGAUCAGCCACAUUGGGACUGAGACACGGCCCAAACUCCUACGGGAGGCAGCAGUGGGGAAUAUUGGACAAUGGGCGCAAGCCUGAUCCAGCCAUGCCGCGUGAGUGAUGAAGGCCCUAGGGUUGUAAAGCUCUUUUACCCGGGAAGAUAAUGACUGUACCGGGAGAAUAAGCCCC